CUUUUCACCGCUACCACAUACGAAAGGACCCUACGACUGAAAGACUAUUGUCAUCAAGCACGGGCCUUGGUACUGUUGAAGAAAUAGCGAGUAGCGGAGAUAGCACAUCGUUCGGCAACGAUGGGAGAGGAUGUAUUGGAGAAAUGGUGAAUCUUCAUGUGUCGACAGAGGUCAUCAAAAGUUCGGAUGAGUAUAUUCGAAAAAAGACGAAAACUCCUAAUGUGAAGAAAAAUGUCAGCAACGAUUGGGAAGAGUAUGGUCGGGAAAAGACGUAUACUCCUAUUGGACCGAUACAAU